rnacentral:tRNA from 1 species
GGAUUGAGCUCAGUAGCACAGCGCUUGCCUGGAAAGCAUGACAUCCUGAGUUUGAUUCCCAGUUACUCCU